GAUUAUACAGCACCACAAAUGGUCAAAGCCUUUCAACUCUCAUGUGGUGAUCCCAACGAUAAUUCUAAUCUUCUUCUCUUUCGGGAGCCAGACCACAUGGCAGGAGCAUUUUCUGCACAAAAGGUAUAAAUUGUCAAAUUAGAAUAUAAAGAGAUAGGUGAGAUUAUAAAGGAAUGUUAUCCAUAUUUCAAUCAAUGAUGAAUGAAGUAAUGUAAAAUAAAAAUUUGACUAAACCCAAGAGUGAUAUGGAGGUCAUGGGUUCAACUCCCCACAGUAACAACAACAGCUAAUAUUUGUCAUUUAAAAUAAAAAACUAAAAUAAACCCUUCUGGUUCUCCAAAGAUUAGGUGUCACUACAUUCAUCCUGCAAAUAUUUGUCCCCAGAUUAAUUCUUUAAAUAUUGAGAUGUCACCACUAUAAUCCAUAUGGAUUUUUAUAAUGUUGAGGAACUUAUUUGAUGAAAAAUUAUUAAGAAGAUAAUUAAAAUUGAGAUUUUACACAAAAACGGAAAAGAGUCAAAUCAUAAAUCGUGCAAUUGUUAACAUCCAUAUAUGCAUAUAAGUUCAUAUGCAUAUAAAUAGCAUAAAACAGAAAAUCUCAAAUCACAGCUUUACAAGUCUUACAAACUCGUAACUUACAAUUCACAAGUCACAAACAAAACAACUAACGUUACUAAAAUAACUAACAUUAGUAAAACAACCAAGAAUGCCUAAUCGCCAGUCUCUUCUAGAGGGGGCAUAUCAUGACUAGGAGUAUUAUUUUCCUUCACAAUCCAUUCCUUCUUAAACAUGUUAUUGGUAGUGGGUUGUGAGCUAAACCUUCUUUUAAAAAUGUUUUUGGAGCUGUCAACAACACCCUCCACUUCACUGCUAUCGCUUUUUUCAGUAAGUUCUAUACAAUCACUCCUAUUUCCAAGACGGGAGAGUGAGUAGCUUGUUUCUAUAGCGAAGGAUAUUCUUAGGCUUGUUUCUAUAACUAAGGACGGGAAAGUGAGUAGCAGCAAAUGCCUCACCAGUAAACAAGUUUUCUUCUAACCCGCAAGAAGAAAACAGGUUCUUUUCCUAACCCUAGCAUGUGCGCCACACGACCACCACCCCUAAUCAGAAUCGCAGAAACUCCAGAAAGAUCCAGAUCAUUCAAUUCAACAAUUGACAGUGGCGAUUCCACCCAAUUUCAACAAAAUCCGAUUUUUGUGUACUCUUAGUGGCUGAGGGCAAGCAAAGAUGUACAAUUGUGUGAUUGUAUGGUUUAAAAAGUGAUUUUGACUACCAUGCAUAAGAGAUCUAAUAAUAUGGUAACACUUCAAUCAAAAAGGAACUAAACUAGUGACAAAAAUCUUUGGAAGACUAAAAUGACUUUCAAAGAUUUUUGUCACUAGUUUAAGCUCAAUUUUCAUCAGCAUUAUUGUUUACGCUCAAUUUCUCCAAAACAAAGAAAAGAAUUGAAAAAUCAGAAAAUGACUUUCAAACAAUCUCCAUUCCCCAAAUUGUGGUGCUAAAAAAGAGUCUGAAAAAGUUGUCUGAGGUUAUUAUUCCAUGCCCCUCUGUUCCCUUCUUAAACUAAAAUAUUAAUACACCUCUCUUUCCUUACCCUACUGGUACAAAUCUGGUAUUUUAUUGAAUAGGGAUAUGAAUCCCAACCCAAAGGCCCAAUUCUCUGUCAAAUCGCUUGAACAUCUCUUUCUUUUCGUAUCCUAUUAUUUCUAAAUCACGGUCUGCCUCUCUAGCUAAGCCUACCAUUUCCAAAUAACCGACCAGAGUUUGGGUACCAACACUCUCCUCGUCGCCUAUUUGUGGCAAACGCUUUAGCAUCACAGCAGACUCCUAAUCCUCUCCGCUAUUUUGCUAUUCCCUGCUAUGGCAGCACAGCACUACUGACAACACAUGUAUUGAGCAUAUAAUCAAAAUAAAAAAAUCAGCCUACUACAAGUUGAUGUAUCAAACUAUGCAAUCUUAACCUAACCAAGUUCAAUGUUUUGACAUCAUAAAGUGGGAAAAAUAUUGUCUGUGUUUGAUGAAAGAAAAUAGUAACGAUCUAGGCAUUGAACAUGAAUCAAAUUGAAAAGUAGUGAAUAAAAAUUACCUGCAUAAAAGUGUAACGCUGUCUACCAAUAGAUUCGUUUUGAGCAAUAGAAAAGUAAGAAAGUAAAGGGUAAUGGCCAAUAUACGAAGCAUAGCUAUCACGUUGAAUAUUCACAGCCCAUUCAAAUCUAUUGAUAUCAGCAUGACCAGUUCCAACAUAU
rnacentral:lncRNA from 1 species